rnacentral:rRNA from 1 species
AUCCAGACUCCUACGGGAGGCAGCAGUCGGUCCUCUUGCGCAAUUUCGGCCACUCUGACGCCGUGACGCCGCGUCUCGGAAGAAGGUUUUCGGAUUGUAACCUAUUGUCGUGAGGGACGAAAUUGACAGUACCUCAGGAGGAAGCUCCGGCUAACUAUGUGCCAGCAGCCGCGGUAAUACAUAGGGAGCAAGCGUUAUCCGGAUUUAUUGGGGGUAAAGGGUGCGGAGACGGGAAAUUAAGUUAGUUGUGAAAGCCCUCGGCUUAACGGAGGAACUGCAACUAAAACUGAUUUUCUUGAGGACGGGAGAGGAAAGGGGAAUUCCUAGGGGAGCGGUGAAAUGCGGAGAUAUUAGGAGGAACACCAGUGGCGAAGGCGACUUUCGGGACAGUAACUGACGGUGAGGCACGAAAGGGUGGGGAGCAAACAGGAGUAGAUACCCGUGUAC